AUGAUGCAGAGGCCAUUCCGCCCGGAGGAGUACUCCUUGAAGGAGACUACUCCUCACCUUGGUGGAGCAGCUGCAGGUGACAAGCUCACCACCACCUAUGACCUGGUUGAGCAGAUGCAGUACCUUUAUGUUCGAGUGGUAAAAGCGAAGGAACUUCCAGCUAAGGACCUCACUGGAAGUUGUGACCCGUAUGUUGAGGUGAAGCUUGGGAAUUAUAAGGGCACAACUCGGCAUUUUGAGAAGAAGACCAAUCCUGAGUGGAACCAGGUGUUUGCCUUCUCAAAGGAGCGCAUUCAGGCAUCAGUAGUGGAGAUUAUCGUCAAAGAUAAAGACUUUGUUAAAGAUGACUACAUUGGACGGGUUAUGUUUGACCUUAAUGAGGUCCCAAAGCGAGUUCCACCUGACAGCCCGUUGGCUCCACAAUGGUAUCGCUUGGAAGAACGGAAUGGGCACAAGGUCAAAGGAGAGUUGAUGUUAGCUGUUUGGAUGGGUACUCAAGCAGAUGAAGCAUUUCCUGAAGCUUGGCACUCUGAUGCUGCGUCAAUCCCUGGUGAUGGCCUUGCAAGUAUUAGAUCAAAAGUUUAUCUUACUCCUAAGCUUUGGUAUCUGCGUGUCAAUGUCAUUGAAGCACAAGAUCUUAUACCAAAUGACAAGACCAGGUUCCCUGAGGUUUAUGUCAAAGCAAUGUUAGGAAACCAGGCUCUUAGAACCCGAGUAUCACCAGGCAGGACUCUGAAUCCAAUGUGGAAUGAGGACUUGAUGUUUGUUGCAGCUGAGCCAUUUGAGGAGCACCUGAUUUUGAGUGUAGAAGACAGGAUUGCUCCAGGAAAGGAUGAUGUAAUUGGGAGAACUGUCAUUUCACUGCAGCAUGUAGCUCGGAGGCUGGACCACAAGUUGCUGAACAGCCAGUGGUAUAAUCUUGAGAAGCAUGUGAUGGUGGAUGGUGAGCAGAGGAAGGAGACCAAGUUCUCAAGCAGGAUUCACUUAAGAAUUUGUCUUGAAGGUGGAUAUCAUGUCUUGGAUGAAUCGACACAUUACAGUAGUGAUCUAAGGCCAACUGCCAAACAGCUGUGGAAGCAUAACAUUGGGGUCCUUGAGCUGGGUAUCUUGACUGCGCAGGGCCUGUUGCCUAUGAAGACGAAGGAUGGACGCGGCACGACUGACCCUUAUUGUGUUGCUAAGUAUGGGCAGAAAUGGGUGCGUACAAGGACUAUCAUUGAUAGUUUCACUCCCAAGUGGAAUGAACAGUACACUUGGGAAGUGCAUGAUCCAUGCACUGUGAUCACUAUUGGUGUAUUUGACAACUGCCACUUGAAUGGCGGGGAAAAGGCUAAUGGUGCACGGGAUACCAGAAUUGGCAAGGUCCGCAUCCGCCUCUCAACGCUAGAAACUGAUCGGGUGUAUACCCACUCAUACCCUCUUAUUGUUUUGACACCUGCUGGCGUUAAGAAAAUGGGUGAGGUACAGCUUGCUGUCCGGUUCACAUGCUCAUCACUGUUCAACAUGAUGACUCUGUAUUCACAGCCCUUGCUGCCCAAGAUGCACUAUAUACACCCGUUGUCUGUGAUCCAGGUUGAUAACCUAAGACGCCAAGCAACCAACAUUGUCUCAACCAGGCUGAGCCGUGCAGAACCGCCACUGCGAAAAGAAAUUGUGGAGUACAUGCUGGAUGUGGAUUCUCACAUGUGGAGCAUGAGAAAGAGCAAGGCAAACUUCUUCCGUAUCAUGGGUGUCUUGAGCCCUCUGAUUGCAGUUGCUAGAUGGUUUGAUCAGAUCUGUCACUGGAGGAACCCACUGACGACUAUACUGAUCCAUGUCCUCUUUGUGAUACUGGUCUUGUAUCCUGAGCUGAUACUGCCUACAAUCUUUCUCUACCUAUUCCUGAUUGGAGUGUGGUACUACCGGUGGCGGUCGAGGCAGCCUCCGCACAUGGACACUCGCCUCUCACAUGCGGAGACCGCCCAUCCUGACGAGCUUGAUGAAGAGUUUGACACCUUCCCUACAUCUCGCCCACCUGACAUCGUCAGGAUGCGGUAUGACCGCCUCCGGAGCGUUGCUGGGAGGAUCCAGACUGUUGUUGGUGAUCUUGCAACACAAGGAGAAAGACUGCAGUCUCUGCUGAGCUGGAGAGACCCAAGGGCCACCGCGCUGUUUGUGACCUUCUGCUUCAUCGCUGCGAUCGUCCUGUACGUCACACCAUUCCGUGUUGUGGUCUUCCUUGCAGGCCUGUACACCCUGAGGCACCCGAGGUUCCGCCACAAGAUGCCGUCUGUCCCGCUGAACUUCUUCAGGAGGCUGCCGGCAAGGACUGAUAGCAUGCUGUAA
rnacentral:rRNA from 1 species